rnacentral:rRNA from 1 species
GACGAACGCUGGCGGCGUGCUUAACACAUGCAAGUCGAACGGAAAGGCCCUGCUUUUGUGGGGUGCUCGAGUGGCGAACGGGUGAGUAACACGUGAGUAACCUGCCCUUGACUUUGGGAUAACUUCAGGAAACUGGGGCUAAUACCGGAUAGGAGCUCCUGCUGCAUGGUGGGGGUUGGAAAGUUUCGGCGGUUGGGGAUGGACUCGCGGCUUAUCAGCUUGUUGGUGGGGUAGUGGCUUACCAAGGCUUUGACGGGUAGCCGGCCUGAGAGGGUGACCGGGCACAAUGGGACUGAGAGACGGCGCAGAAGCCUACGGGAGGCAGUAGGCGGGAAUAUUGCACAACGGGGGGACGCGUGAUGUAGCAGUGUCGCGUGCGGGAUGCCGGCCUUCGGGUUGUAAACCGAUGUCGCCUGAGACGAAGAGUGAGUGACGGUAAUGGGUAAAGAAGCACCGGCUAACUACGUG